GGUUAAGUGACUAAGCGUACACGGUGGAUGCCUUGGCAGUCAGAGGCGAUGAAAGACGUAGUAACUUGCGAUAAGCCCAGAUUAGGUAGUAACAACCAUUUGAGUCUGGGAUUUCUGAAUGGGGAAACCCACGUGCAUAAGCACGUAUCCUUACCUGAAUACAUAGGGUAAGGAGGCGAACCGGGGGAACUGAAACAUCUAAGUACCCCGAGGAAAAGAAAUCAACCGAGAUUCCGAAAGUAGCGGCGAGCGAAAUUGGACUAGCCCUUAAGCUUUACACGCGUUAGACGAACGGUCUGGAAAGUCCGACGAUACAGGGUGAUAGUCCCGUAGUUGACGACGUGUGUUCAGUGAAAUCGAGUAGGGCGGGACACGUGAUAUCCUGUCUGAAUAUGGGGGGACCAUCCUCCAAGGCUAAAUACUACUGACUGACCGAUAGUGAACCAGUACCGUGAGGGAAAGGCGAAAAGAACCCCUGUGAGGGGAGUGAAAUAGAACCUGAAACCGUGUACGUACAAGCAGUAGGAGCAGGCUUUGUCCUGUGACUGCGUACCUUUUGUAUAAUGGGUCAGCGACUUAUAUUCAGUGGCAAGGUUAACCAUCUAGGGGAGCCGUAGGGAAACCGAGUCUUAACUGGGCGUUCAGUCUCUGGAUAUAGACCCGAAACCAGGUGAUCUAGCCAUGGGCAGGUUGAAGGUUGAGUAACAUCAACUGGAGGACCGAACCGACUAAUGUUGAAAAAUUAGCGGAUGACUUGUGGCUAGGGGUGAAAGGCCAAUCAAACCUGGAGAUAGCUGGUUCUCCCCGAAAGCUAUUUAGGUAGCGCCUCGGACGAAUACUACUGGGGGUAGAGCACUGUUAAGGCUAGGGGGUCAUCCCGACUUACCAACCCUUUGCAAACUCCGAAUACCAGUAAGUACUAUCCGGGAGACACACGGCGGGUGCUAACGUCCGUCGUGGAGAGGGAAACAACCCAGACCGCCAGCUAAGGUCCCAAAUUACUACUAAGUGGGAAACGAUGUGGGAAGGCUCAGACAGCCAGGAUGUUGGCUUAGAAGCAGCCAUCAUUUAAAGAAAGCGUAAUAGCUCACUGGUCGAGUCGGCCUGCGCGGAAGAUGUAACGGGGCUAAGUAGUAAACCGAAGCUGCGGCAAUGUGCUUUUGCACAUUGGGUAGGGGAGCGUUCUGUAAGCGGUUGAAGGUGUGUGGUAACGCAUGCUGGACGUAUCAGAAGUGCGAAUGCUGACAUGAGUAACGAUAAAGGGGGUGAAAAACCUCCUCGCCGGAAGACCAAGGGUUCCUGUCCAACGUUAAUCGGGGCAGGGUAAGUCGACCCCUAAGGCGAGGCCGAAAGGCGUAGUCGAUGGGAAACGGGUUAAUAUUCCCGUACUUCUUACAAUUGCGAUGGGGGGACGGAGAAGGCUAGGUGGGCCUGGCGACGGUUGUCCAGGUUCAAGUGCGUAGGCUUAAGAGUUAGGUAAAUCCGGCUCUUUUUAAGGCUGAGACACGACGUCGAGCACCUACGGGUGUGAAGUCAUUGAUGCCAUGCUUCCAGGAAAAGCCUCUAAGCUUCAGAUUGUAAGGAAUCGUACCCCAAACCGACACAGGUGGUCGGGUAGAGAAUACCAAGGCGCUUGAGAGAACUCGGGUGAAGGAACUAGGCAAAAUGGUACCGUAACUUCGGGAGAAGGUACGCUCUCGACGGUGAAGUCCCUCGCGGAUGGAGCUAUUGAGAGUCGCAGAUACCAGGUGGCUGCAACUGUUUAUUAAAAACACAGCACUGUGCAAAAUCGUAAGAUGACGUAUACGGUGUGACGCCUGCCCGGUGCCGGAAGGUUAAUUGAUGGGGUUAGACUUCGGUCGAAGCUCUUGAUCGAAGCCCCGGUAAACGGCGGCCGUAACUAUAACGGUCCUAAGGUAGCGAAAUUCCUUGUCGGGUAAGUUCCGACCUGCACGAAUGGCGUAAUGAUGGCCACGCUGUCUCCACCCGAGACUCAGUGAAAUUGAAAUCGCUGUGAAGAUGCAGUGUACCCGCGGCUAGACGGAAAGACCCCGUGAACCUUUACUACAGCUUGGCACUGAACAUUGACCCUACAUGUGUAGGAUAGGUGGGAGGCUUUGAAGCA
rnacentral:rRNA from 1 species